AAUCCCGUGAACCAUCGAGUCUUUGAACGCAAGUUGCGCCCCAAGCCUUCUGGCCGAGGGCACGUCUGCCUGGGUGUCACAAAUCGUCGUCCCCAUCCUAUGCGGAUAAGGGACGGAAGUUGGUCUCCCGUGUGUUACCGCACGCGGUUGGCCUAAAUCUGAG
rnacentral:rRNA from 2 species